GGAUGGGUUGAAGAGCGCAACAUCAAACUAAACUCUAAUAAGAUGAUGGUGGUUCCUUUGGGUCAAGGCAGGGAGAGCGUUAGUGUUUCAAAGUAUUUUUAAAACACGUGACCAACAAAGGUUUCACUGGUUUGAUCGCAUCCUGUGCACCACAAAGAAUGACAGUACAUGAUGUGCCAACCAUUGUACACCCAAAAGUAUGUAAACCGUCAAUGUUUCAGCAUGACAGCUGAGCUGAAACCGGUAAAAUGGAGACGGACUCAUUCAAACCUAAAUGACAGAACUGCUGGGCGACAUACUUCCAGAACAAUACCUCAUAAUGUGUCCUUCAAAUCCAACCCCAUGCAUGGA
ensembl:lncRNA